AACGAACGCUGGCGGCAUGCCUAACACAUGCAAGUCGAACGAGACCUUCGGGUCUAGUGGCGCACGGGUGCGUAACGCGUGGGAACCUGCCCUUAGGUUCGGAAUAACUCCCCGAAAGGGGUGCUAAUACCGGAUAAUGUCUUCGGACCAAAGAUUUAUCGCCUUUGGAUGGGCCCGCGUUGGAUUAGCUAGUUGGUAGGGUAAAAGCCUACCAAGGCGACGAUCCAUAGCUGGUCUGAGAGGAUGAUCAGCCACACUGGGACUGAGACACGGCCCAGACUACGACCGGAGGCAGCAGUGGGGGAUGAGGGAUAAUGGGCUGAAGGUUGAUACGGUCAUGUCGCGGGAGUGAUAAAGACCUUAGGGUGAGAAAGCUCUCUGGCCAGCGCGGUGAAAGCCAGGGCGGGAAGAAUAAGAGCAGCACAACUCGAUC
rnacentral:rRNA from 1 species